AAGAAAGCUGGCGGCGUGCUUAACACAUGCAAGUCGAACGGAAAGGCCCUGCUUUUGUGGGGUGCUCGAGUGGCGAACGGGUGAGUAACACGUGAGUAACCUGCCCUUGACUUUGGGAUAACUUCAGGAAACUGGGGCUAAUACCGGAUAGGAGCUCCUGCUGCAUGGUGGGGGUUGGAAAGUUUCGGCGGUUCGGGAUGGACUCGCGGCUUAUCAGCUUGUUGGUGGGGUAGUGGCUUACCAAGGCUUUGACGGGUAGCCGGCCUGAGAGGGUGACCGGCCACAUUGGGACUGAGAUACGGCCCAGACUCCUACGGGAGGCAGCAGUGGGGAAUAUUGCACAAUGGGCGGAAGCCUGAUGCAGCAACGCCGCGUGCGGGAUGACGGCCUUCGGGUUGUAAACCGCUUUCGCCUGUGACGAAGCGUGAGUGACGGUAAUGGGUAAAGAAGCACCGGCUAACUACGUG
rnacentral:rRNA from 1 species